rnacentral:lncRNA from 1 species
GCAGGUCAGCUACACGGCUUCACAGCCCGAUGGAAAGCAGCUGCAGGGUAUUCCUAAUGCUUCUCAUGUAAGUAAUAACAUGAGAACAUCAGUCUAGCCUUCUCAGACAGCAGCCCCAGGAAAUCCGGGAACAGUUCAGGGACCAAGUUCUGGUAACACUUCGUUAUUGAGUCACAGCAAAGCCUCUAAUGCUGCUGUAAAAUUGGCAGAAAGCAAAAAAUUACAAAUUCAAGAAAAAGCAGCACAGGAGGUAAAACUGGCGAUUAAGCUAUUUUACCAAAACAAAGACAUCACCAAGGAAGAGUACAAAGAGAUUGUACGGAAGGUAGUAGAUAAAGUUUGUCAUAUUAAGAGUGGAGAAGUAAAUCCUACUAAAGUGGCGAAUCUGGUUAAAGCCUACGUGGACAAACACAAACACUCUCGGAAAGGGAGCCAGAGAAGGCUGAGGAGGAGCAGGUGUCUGCGGAGCGCAGCGGGGCUGAGGCGGCGAGCGCUGCGAGCACGUUACCGAGACAUCUGCCAAGUGCAGUUCCAACGUGCUCCAGUAGGAGAUCUGCGUAACUAUGACUGAAACUGGUUUUGACAAACUUAUUCUUUUAAUGUAGGAUAUGAUGUUUUGUUCUAAAUAAAUAUAGUUCUACACUGCAACUUCUUCAUCCACACCCUCACCUCAAAUAAAUAAAUUCAAGAGAAAGUAAAAGGUUUAAAGGAACAUGCAUUUUUAGUAGGACUGUACUAGUGUGGAUACUGGAAGAUGUACAGCUUUUUGGUUGGACUGUUUGAGUACAACAAUGGAGUGCAUAAAUUAGAAACUUCUAAGUGCACUGGUUUUGGGAGGGAUAUACGUAUAAUACAUUUAUUCUGUCAGGCUAAGAAAUAAAGUAUAAACUUUAUGACUUUUCCCCUCUAAUUAUAGAAAGUUAAGUAAUGUAUUACCAUGAAAGUAUUUCUAAUAAAUAGAACAUACCCAGGGGCAGGGUUCCUCAUGUGUAUUUUUAAAGCACAUAUCUGCUUAGAUAGAAAACAAAUUAUCAGGGGCUGGGGAUUUAGCUCAGCAGCACAGCGCCUGCCUGGCAAGCACAAGGUCUUGAGUUCAGUUCCCGGUACUGGCAAAAAAAAAAAAAAAAAUUAUCAGGAGUAAAAUUCAGUGUUCAAAACUUUGAGAACUCUUCACUUAGGUAUCACCAAAUAAAGAUUAUGCUGCCAUUUAAAAUAAAAUGGAAAGAUAUCUCCUAUUCAUGAAGUGAAAAUGACCCUACUCCCAAAACUUUUAUACAGAUUUAAUGUAAUCCCAAUCAAAAUACCAUUAGCAUACCUAAUAGAACUAGAGAAAACAUACCUAAAACUCAUUUGGAACUAGAAGAGACCUAGAAUAGCAAAAGCAAUCCUGGGUAACAAAGACAAGUCAGGGGGCAUCACAAUCCCUCACUUGAAAUUACACUAUAAUGCUACUGUAAUAAAAUCAGCAUAUUAUUGGCAAAAAACAGACCAGAGGAUCAAUGAAACAGAAUAGAAGGUGCAGGCACAACUGCAAACACACUCAGCCAUCUUAUCUUUGACAAAGGAGCCAAACACAUUCACUGGAAGAAAGAUAGUCUCUAAUAAAUAGUGAUGGAAAAACUGCCUUCCCGCAUGCUGAAGAAUAAACCCAUGCCUAUCACCAGGCAUGAAACUAAAGUCAACAUGAAUCAAAGAUCUAAAUAUGAAAGCAGAAGCUCUAAAUCUACGGGAAAAGAAAAUAGGUAGAAAUCAUCUAUACAUAGGUGUAGGCAUAUACUUCAUGAACAGAACCCAGACCACAUGGGAAAUACUACAAAGAAUCAAUAAAUAGAAUCUCACCCUAAUAAAAAGCUUUUGCACAACAAAACAAAUCACCCACAGAGUUAAAAGACAACCCACAUGUGGGAAAAAACUAUACCCAGUUGUUCUUUAGACAAAGGACUUAUAUCUAAAUUAUACAAAGAAAUGAAAAAAUCAUGUCACCAAUUUCAAAGACCCCAUCCAAAAAUGGGCAGCUGAGGUGAAUAUAUACUUCUUAAAUGAAGAAAUACAGAUGGCAAAUAAAUAUAGAAAAAAAGGUCAACAUCACUGAUCAUUUCAGAGGUGUAAAUUGAAACAACACUGAGAUUCUGUCUCACCCCAGUAAGGCUAUCAUCAAGAAAUCUACCGAUAACAAAUGCAGGAAGGGCUAUGUGUAAAAAGGAACCAUUCCCCACUGUAGAUGGGAGUUCAAACUGGUGCAACCACUGCGGAUACCAGUAUGCAGAUUCCUCCAAAAGCUAGGAUUAGAGGUUCCAUUCUACCUAGCUAUUCCCCAUCUAGGUAUCCACCCAGAAUGACAAACAUCAUACCACAGCAAUACAUGUGCACCCAUGUCUAUAGCAGCAAAACAUGUAAUAGCUAAAUCUUAGAAACAACCCAAAUGCCGAUCAACAGAGCAAUGGAUAAAAAAGGUAUGGUAUUUUUGUACAAUGGAGUACUACUUAGCCAUAAAGAAGGAUAAACUUGAGCCUUUUCUAGGUAAAUGGAUGCAAUUUGAGACCAUGCUAAUAAGUGAGAUAAAUCAGACCCAUAUAUGUAAACAACAUAUUGUCUCACCAGUAUGAGAAAUUGUAUGAGUAAAUAAGAUCCAAAAUGUAUACUAGAUAUUGUGAAUCAGGAAGAAAUUGUUGAAAAAAAGAGAAAAACUGAUAGAGGAAAGGGGAAAGGAAUGAAAAAAACAGGAAAAAAACAUAAAUGUGCACACAUAAAAUAGUGAAGAGAGUUAUACAGCUAGUUUUUCUUAGUUUGUUGAAGAGAAACUAAUAUUGUUUGGACAAUAUUUCAUGCCUAUAUCUCAUAUUCUGAGUAACUACUAUGAAAAUAAUAAUAUGCAAUGUAUUAAUUACUGCUAGUCUC